rnacentral:rRNA from 1 species
GAUUAACGCGAAGAACCUUACCUGGGCUUGACAUGUUCGGUCUACCUGCAGAGAUGUGGGGCGCUUCGGCGCCGUUCACAGGUGGUGCAUGGUUGUCGUCAGCACGUGUCGUGAGAUGUUGGGUUAAGUCCCGCAACGAGCGCAACCCUCGUUCCAUGUUGCCAGCGCGUAAUGGCGGGGACUCAUGGGAGACUGCCGGGGUCAACUCGGAGGAAGGUGGGGAUGACGUCAAAUCAUCAUGCCCCUUAUGUCCAGGGCUGCACACAUGCUACAAUGGCCGGUACAGAGGGCUGCGAUACCGCGAGGUGGAGCGAAUCCCAAAAAGCCGGUCUCAGUUCGGAUCGGGGUCUGCAACUCGACCCCGUGAAGUCGGAGUCGCUAGUAAUCGCAGAUCAGCAACGCUGCGGUGAAUACGUUCCCGGGCCUUGUACACACCGAAUC